AUUGAACGCUGGCGGCAGGCCUAACACAUGCAAGUCGAACGAGUGGCGGACGGGUGAGUAAUGUCUGGGAAACUGCCCGAUGGAGGGGGAUAACUACUGGAAACGGUAGCUAAUACCGCAUACCCUCGGAUGUGCCCAGAUGGGAUUAGCUAGUAGGUGGGGUAACGGCUCACCUAGGCGACGAUCCCUAGCUGGUCUGAGAGAGUGACCAGCAACACUGGAACUGAGACACGGUCCAGACGCCUACGGGAGGCAGCAGUGGGGAAUAUUGCACAAGGGGCGCAAGCCUGAGACAGACAGGCCGCGUGUAUGAAGAAGGCCUUCGGGUUGUAAAGUACUUUCAGCGAGGAGGCGUUACGCGCAGAAGAAGCACCGGCUAACUCCGUGCCAGCAGCCGCGGUAAUUC
rnacentral:rRNA from 1 species